rnacentral:lncRNA from 1 species
AACAGUCGACCCAUGCCGACUGAACCUAGGACUACGUGAAGGUCCUGCUCCAGUAUACCCGUUGCCGACCUUGGCUCCUUGGGAUGAAUGACUAAGUUCAGCUAGCGGGGCUUGAAUCAAGGCCUCACAUAAGUAGGCACUCCUGAAGGCUGUACCUUUUUGGCACAUAUGGUUGUACAUUCGACAAGAAAGAUUGGCCCAAUGAACUGGUGCUUAUAUAACCAGAGUAAGCUCUAGGACAGAAUAUCC